GACGAACGCUGGCGGCGGGCUUAACACAUGCAAGUCGAACGGAAAGGCCCUGCUUUUGUGGGGUGCUCGAGUGGCGAACGGGUGAGAAACACGUGAGUAACCUGGCCUUGGCUGUGGGAUAACUUCAGGAAACUGGGGCUAACACCGGAUAGGAGCUCGUGCUGCAGGGGGGGGGUUGGAAAUGUUCGGCGGUGGGGGAUGGACUCGCGGCUAACCAGCUUGUUGGUGGGGGGGUGGCUUACCAAGGCUUCGACGGCUAGCCGGCCUGGGAGGGUGGCCGGGCACAUUGGUACUUCGGUAGGGCCCAGCCUGCAACGUGGGGCAGCGGUGGGUAGUCUUGUCCAGUGAGCGCAAGCCUGAUGCCGCAGCGCUGCGAGCGGAAUGCAGGCCAACGGGUGUUGAACCGCUUUCACCUGUUACGACGCGUGAGUGACGGUAAUAGGUCAAGAAGCCCCGGCUAACUACGUG
rnacentral:rRNA from 1 species